AUUUAUCUGUAAUUAUAGGAGAACAAGUUGGGAAGCUUGACGAUAGAGGGUGAUAGUCCCGUAUACGAAAAAAUCACAGUGGAACUAAGCAUCCGAACAAGUAGGACGGGGCACGUGGAACCUUGUCUGAAUAUGGGGGGACCAUCCUCCCAGGCUAAAUACUCCUGAAUGACCGAUAGUGAACUAGUACCGUGAGGGAAAGGUGAAAAGAACCCUUAUAAAUGGAGUGAAAUAGAAUCGGAAACCGCUUGCAUACACGCAGUAGGAGCAUGAUUUAUUCAUGUGAAUGCGUACAUUUUGUAUAAU
rnacentral:rRNA from 1 species